rnacentral:rRNA from 1 species
CGCCUGUUUAUCAAAAACAUCUCUUCUCGUUAGUUUUUGAAGUAUGGCCUGCCCACUGACCUUGAAUGUUGAAGGGCCGCGGUAUUUUGACCGUGCAAAGGUAGCAUAGUCAUUAGUUCUUUAAUUGUGAUCUGGUAUGAAUGGCUUGACGAGGUAUAAGCUGUCUUAAUUUUGAAUUGUUUAUUGAAUUUGGUCUUUGAGUUAAAAUUCUUAGAUGUUUUUAUGGGACGAGAAGACCCUAUAGAGUUUAACAUUUAUUAUGGUCUCUUUCUGUUUGUGAGGGUUCACUAGGGCUGUUUAAUAUGUUUUGUUGGGGUGAUGGGAGGGAUAUUAUUUAACCCCUCCUUUGUGUUGUUAUAUUUAUUUAUAUUUGCUUGAUCCAUUUAUUUUGAUUGUAAGAUUAAAUUACCUUAGGGAUAACAGCGUAA